rnacentral:rRNA from 1 species
GACGAACGCUGGCGGCGUGCUUAACACAUGCAAGUCGAACGGAAAGGCCCUGCUUUUGUGGGGUGCUCGAGUGGCGAACGGGUGAGUAACACGUGAGUAACCUGCCCUUGACUUUGGGAUAACUUCAGGAAACUGGGGCUAAUACCGGAUAGGAGCUCCUGCUGCAUGGUGGGGGUUGGAAAGUUUCGGCGGUUGGGGAUGGACUCGCGGCUUAUCAGCUUGUUGGUGGGGUAGUGGCUUACCAAGGCUUUGACGGGUAGCCGACCUGAGAGGGUGACCGGCCACAUUGGGACUGGGAUACGGCCCAGACUCCUACGGGAGGCAGCAGUGGGGAAUAUUGCACAAUGGGCGGAAGCCUGAUGCAGCAACGCCGCGUGCGGGAUGACGGCCUUCGGGUUGUAAACCGCUUUCGCCUGUGACGAAGCGUGAGUGACGGUAAUGGGUAAAGAAGCACCGGCUAACUACGUG